rnacentral:sRNA from 2 species
AGUUAUGUUAAGCCUAAUGCCAUUUUGGCAAGGGAGGAUUUUUCAUUGGGGUGAAUCCUAAAGAAACUUAUUUUGAAUUUUAAGGCUAAUUAUAAAGUCAGACUAUAAUGGAGGACUUGAUUAACUUUUAAAUUUAAGAAGUCUUUAGGUAGGUUAUCUCUUUCCGAACCCGUCAACUAACUUCCUAGGCAUUAAGAGAGGAGUA